ACUUUGCGGUGUGGACACCAAAUAAAUAGGUCCUCGAACCUCUCCCAUGCAUCAAAGAAAACUUCACCAUCUUUUUGCCGAAAAUUUCUAAUGACAUCAAUCAUGUC